rnacentral:rRNA from 1 species
GAUGAACGCUGGCGGCGUGCCUAAUACAUGCAAGUCGAGCGAACGGACGAGAAGCUUGCUUCUCUGAUGUUAGCGGCGGACGGGUGAGUAACACGUGGAUAACCUACCUAUAAGACUGGGAUAACUUCGGGAAACCGGAGCUAAUACCGGAUAAUAUCUUGAACCGCAUGGUUCAAAAGUGAAAGACGGUCUUGCUGUAACUAAUAGAUGUCUCCGCGCUGCAUUAGUUAGUUGGUAAGGUAACGGCUUACAAAGGGAACGAUGCAUAGCCGACCUGAGAGGGGGAUCGGCCACACUGGAACUGAGACACGGUCCAGACUCCUACGGGAGGCAGCAGUAGGGAAUCUUCCGCAAUGGGCGAAAGCCUGACGGAGCAACGCCGCGUGAGUGAUGAAGGUCUUCGGAUCUUAAAACUCUGUUAUUAGGGAAGAACAUAUGUGUAAGUAACUGUGCACAUCUUGACGGUACCUAAUCAGAAAGCCACGGCUAACUACGUG